rnacentral:lncRNA from 1 species
AAGGUUACUAGUUCGGUUUUCAUUGGAGGUUUUUAGAAGAUCAAGGGAAUUAGAGAGAGGAGCUUCAUGCUUCGGGUCGGGGAAGGAAAGACAUAGAAUUUGGAUUUUUCUUCUUCGUAGAGUUUUAGGAAGCCUGAGGCAAUCGCUGCUGAAGUUAGUGUUGUAAUGGUGAAUCGGGAUUUUUAAAUGAAGUGGAUUUGAAUACUCUUGACUGUUUUGUAAAAUCGAGUUACGUCUGUGAUUGAAGGAUUAAAUGGGUGUCUAUAGGAUUGAGUAUGCGGAGUGAAUGAAAUUUAUUGGGUUAAUCUAACAAGACAGUCAGUGGAUACAGGAUCGUAAGUACAAAGGGGUAUUGAAGAUUAACA